rnacentral:rRNA from 1 species
CCUGUCGGUGGCGGACAGGCUUCUCGGCGUGCCCUAUGCGUCUUACGGCGUGUAGGCUGCUGCGCCGCGUUGUCCUUGUACGCCGGCUCAAUCCUACCGCGGUGCUCUUUACCGAGUGUCGAGGUAGGCCGACACUGUUUACUUUGAACAAAUUAGAGUGCUUAAAGCAGGCUCUUAAAUCAGCCUGAAUAGUGGUGCAUGGAAUAAUGGAACAGGACCUUGGUUCUAUUUUGUUGGUUUUCGGAAUCCAAGGUAAUGAUCAAUAAGGACAGGCGGGGGCAUUCGUAUUGCGGCGUUAGAGGUGAAAUUCUUGGAUCGUCGCAAGACGCACUAGAGCGAAAGCAUUUGCCA